rnacentral:lncRNA from 1 species
AAGGAAGGUUAGUUCUGUUGUUGUGAAGGAAGGUUAGUUCUGUUGUUGUGAAGGAAGGUUAGUUCUGUUGUUGUGAAGGAAGGUUGGUUCUGUUGUUGUGAAGGAAGGUUGGUUCUGUUGUUGUGAAGGAAGGAAGGUUAGUUCUGUUGUUGUGAAGGAAGGUUAGUUCUGUUGUUGUGAAGGAAUGAAGGUUAGUUCUGUUGUUGUGAAGGAAGGUUAGUUCUGUUGUUGUGAAGGAAGGUUAGUUCUGUUGUUGUGAAGGAAGGUUAGUUCUGUUGUUGUGAAGGAAGGUUAGUUCUGUUGUUGUGAAGGAAGGAAGGUUGGUUCUGUUGUUGUGAAGGAAGGUUAGUUCUGUUGUUGUGAAGGAAGGAAGGUUGGUUCUGUUGUUGUGAAGGAAGGUUAGUUCUGUUGUUGUGAAGGAAGGUUAGUUCUGUUGUUGUGAAGGAAGGAAGGUUAGUUCUGUUGUUGUGAAGGAAGGUUGGUUCUGUUGUUGUGAAGGAAGGUUGGUUCUGUUGUUGUGAAGGAAGGUUAGUUCUGUUGUUGUGAAGGAAGGUUAGUUCUGUUGUUGUGAAGGAAGGUUAGUUCUGUUGUUGUGAAGGAAGGUUAGUUCUGCUGUUGUGAAGGAAGGUUAGUUCUGUUGUUGUGAAGGAAGGUUAGUUCUGUUGUUGUGAAGGAAGGUUGGUUCUGUUGUUGUGAAGGAAGGUUAGUUCUGUUGUUGUGAAGGAAGGUUAGUUCUGUUGUUGUGAAGGAAGGUUAGUUCUGUUGUUGUGAAGGAAGGUUAGUUCUGUUGUUGUGAAGGAAGGUUAGUUCUGUUGUUGUGAAGGAAGGAAGGUUAGUUCUGUUGUUGUGAAGGAAGGAAGGUUAGUUCUGUUGUUGUGAAGGAAGGUUAGUUCUGUUGUUGUGAAGGAAGGAAGGUUAGUUCUGUUGUUGUGAAGGAAGGUUGGUUCUGUUGUUGUGAAGGAAGGAAGGUUCUGUUGUUGUGAAGGAAGGUUAGUUCUGUUGUUGUGAAGGAAGGUUGGUUCUGUUGUUGUGAAGCAAGGUUAGUUCUGUUGUUGUGAAGGAAGGUUAGUUCUGUUGUUGUGAAGGAAGGUUAGUUCUGUUGUUGUGAAGGAAGGUUAGUUCUGUUGUUGUGAAGGAAGGUUAGUUCUGUUGUUGUGAAGGAAGGUUGGUUCUGUUGUUGUGAAGGAAGGUUAGUUCUGUUGUUGUGAAGGAAGGAAGGUUAGUUCUGUUGUUGUGAAGGAAGGAAGGUUAGUUCUGUUGUUGUGAAGGAAGGAAGGAAGGUUAGUUCUGUUGUUGUGAAGGAAGGUUGGUUCUGUUGUUGUGAAGGAAGGUUAGUUCUGUUGUUGUGAAGGAAGGUUGGUUCUGUUGUUGUGAAGGAAGGUUAGUUCUGUUGUUGUGAAGGAAGGUUAGUUCUGUUGUUGUGAAGGAAGGUUGGUUCUGUUGUUGUGAAGGAAGGUUGGUUCUGUUGUUGUGAAGGAAGGAAGGUUCUGUUGUUGUGAAUGAAGGUUAGUUCUGUUGUUGUGAAGGAAGGUUAGUUCUGCUGUUGUGAAGGAAAGUUAGUUCUGUUGUUGUGAAGGAAGGUUAGUUCUGUUGUUGUGAAGGAAGGUUGGUUCUGUUGUUGUGAAGGAAGGUUAGUUCUGUUGUUGUGAAGGAAGGGAGGUUAGUUCUGUUGUUGUGAAGGAAGGGAGGUUAGUUCUGUUGUUGUGAAGGAAGGAAGGUUAGUUCUGUUGUUGUGAAGGAAGGAAGGUUGGUUCUGUUGUUGUGAAGGAAGGUUAGUUCUGUUGUUGUGAAGGAAGGUUAGUUCUGUUGUUGUGAAGGAAGGUUAGUUCUGUUGUUGUGAAGGAAGGUUAGUUCUGUUGUUGUGAAGGAACGAAGGUUAGUUCUGUUGUUGUGAAGGAAGGUUGGUUCUGUUGUUGUGAAGGAAGGUUAGUUCUGUUGUUGUGAAGGAAGGUUAGUUCUGUUGUUGUGAAGGAAGGGAGGUUAGUUCUGUUGUUGUGAAGGAAGGUUGGUUCUGUUGUUGUGAAGGAAGGUUAGUUCUGUUGUUGUGAAGGAAGGUUGGUUCUGUUGUUGUGAAGGAAGGUUAGUUCUGUUGUUGUGAAGGAAGGAAGGUUGGUUCUGUUGUUGUGAAGGAAGGUUAGUUCUGUUGUUGUGAAGGAAGGUUAGUUCUGUUGUUGUGAAGGAAGGUUAGUUCUGUUGUUGUGAAGGAAGGUUAGUUCUGUUGUUGUGAAGGAACGAAGGUUAGUUCUGUUGUUGUGAAGGAAGGUUGGUUCUGUUGUUGUGAAGGAAGGUUAGUUCUGUUGUUGUGAAGGAAGGUUAGUUCUGUUGUUGUGAAGGAAGGGAGGUUAGUUCUGUUGUUGUGAAGGAAGGUUGGUUCUGUUGUUGUGAAGGAAGGUUAGUUCUGUUGUUGUGAAGGAAGGUUGGUUCUGUUGUUGUGAAGGAAGGUUAGUUCUGUUGUUGUGAAGGAAGGAAGGUUAGUUCUGUUGUUGUGAAGGAAGGAAGGUUAGUUCUGUUGUUGUGAAGGAAGGAAGGAAGGUUAGUUCUGUUGUUGUGAAGGAAGGAAGGAAGGUUAGUUCUGUUGUUGUGAAGGAAGGUUAGUUCUGUUGUUGUGAAGGAAGGUUAGUUCUGUUGUUGUGAAGGAAGGUUGGUUCUGUUGUUGUGAAGGAAGGUUAGUUCUGUUGUUGUGAAGGAAGGUUAGUUCUGUUGUUGUGAAGGAAGGUUGGUUCUGUUGUUGUGAAGGAAGGUUAGUUCUGUUGUUGUGAAGGAAGGUUAGUUCUGUUGUUGUGAAGGAAGGUUGGUUCUGUUGUUGUGAAGGAAGGUUGGUUCUGUUGUUGUGAAGGAAGGUUAGUUCUGUUGUUGUGAAGGAAGGUUGCUUCUGUUGUUGUGAAGGAAGGUUAGUUCUGUUGUUGUGAAGGAAGGUUAGUUCUGUUGUUGUGAAGGAAGGUUGGUUCUGUUGUUGUGAAGGAAGGUUGGUUCUGUUGUUGUGAAGGAAGGAAGGUUCUGUUGUUGUGAAUGAAGGUUAGUUCUGUUGUUGUGAAGGAAGGUUAGUUCUGCUGUUGUGAAGGAAAGUUAGUUCUGUUGUUGUGAAGGAAGGUUAGUUCUGUUGUUGUGAAGGAAGGUUGGUUCUGUUGUUGUGAAGGAAGGUUAGUUCUGUUGUUGUGAAGGAAGGUUAGUUCUGUUGUUGUGAAGGAAGGAAGGUUAGUUCUGUUGUUGUGAAGGAAGGAAGGUUAGUUCUGUUGUUGUGAGGGAAGGAAGGUUAGUUCUGUUGUUGUGAGGGAAGGAAGGUUAGUUCUGUUGUUGUGAAGGAAGGAAGGUUAGUUCUGUUGUUGUGAAGGAAGGAAGGUUAGUUCUGUUGUUGUGAAGGAAGGUUGGUUCUGUUGUUGUGAAGGAAGGUUGGUUCUGUUGUUGUGAAGGAAGGUUAGUUCUGUUGUUGUGAAGGAAGGAAGGUUAGUUCUGUUGUUGUGAAGGAAGGAAGGUUAGUUCUGUUGUUGUGAAGGAAGGAAGGUUAGUUCUGUUGUUGUGAAGGAAGGUUGGUUCUGUUGUUGUGAAGGAAGGUUGGUUCUGUUGUUGUGAAGGAAGGUUAGUUCUGUUGUUGUGAAGGAAGGUUGGUUCUGUUGUUGUGAAGGAAGGUUAGUUCUGUUGUUGUGAAGGAAGGUUAGUUCUGUUGUUGUGAAGGAAGGUUAGUUCUGUUGUUGUGAAGGAAGGUUAGUUCUGUUGUUGUGAAGGAAGGGAGGUUAGUUCUGUUGUUGUGAAGGAAGGUUAGUUCUGUUGUUGUGAAGGAACGAAGGUUAGUUCUGUUGUUGUGAAGGAAGGUUGGUUCUGUUGUUGUGAAGGAAUGAAGGUUGGUUCUGUUGUUGUGAAGGAAUGAAGGUUAGUUCUGUUGUUGUGAAGGAAGGUUAGUUCUGCUGUUGUGAAGGAAGGUUAGUUCUGUUGUUGUGAAGGAAGGUUAGUUCUGUUGUUGUGAAGGAAGGUUAGUUCUGUUGUUGUGAAGGAAGGUUAGUUCUGUUGUUGUGAAGGAAGGAAGGUUGGUUCUGUUGUUGUGAAGGAAGGUUGGUUCUGUUGUUGUGAAGGAAGGUUGGUUCUGUUGUUGUGAAGGAAGGUUAGUUCUGUUCCAUACUGACAUUUUUAUCACUUUCACAACAUUUUACACAAAGUCUUGGAGGGUAUACAAUCUUAGUCUGCUUCUCUGCUAGUCAAUAUCUUCCCUUCCUUCCUCUCUAACAGGAAGUACCUGUCCUGCGUUGGUUACCCAGAAUGCAAGUGUUCCGUGUGGUUUCCUGACACGGUGUUAGAGGUCAACAGAGACGAGUCUGUCUGUCCCACCUGUCAGCCACGCCCCGUUCACAUGU